rnacentral:rRNA from 1 species
AGAGUUUGAUCAUGGCUCAGAUUGAACGCUGGCGGCAGGCUUAACACAUGCAAGUCGAACGGUAACAUGAGUGCUUGCACUUGAUGACGAGUGGCGGACGGGUGAGUAAUGUAUGGGGAUCUGCCGAAUGGAUUGGGACAACAGUUGGAAACGACUGCUAAUACCGAAUAAUGUUGCGAGACCAAAGGGUGCUUACGGGCACUUGCCAUUUGAUGAACCCAUAUGAGAUUAGCUAGUUGGUGGGGUAAAGGCUCACCAAGGCGACGAUCUCUAGCUGGUCUGAGAGGAUGACCAGCCACACUGGAACUGAGACACGGUCCAGACUCCUACGGGAGGCAGCAGUGGGGAAUAUUGUACAAUGGGGGGAACCCUGAUGCAGCCAUGCCGCGUGUAUGAAGAAGGCCUUAGGGUUGUAAAGUACUUUCGGUGAUGAGGAAGUUAUGUGUGGGAUAAGCGCAUAUAAUUGACGUUAGUUACAGAAGAAGCACCGGCUAACUCCGUGCCAGCAGCCGCGGUAAUACGGAGGGUGCGAGCGUUAAUCGGAAUGACUGGGCGUAAAGGGCAUGUAGGCGGAUGAUUAAGUUAGGUGUGAAAGCCUCGGGCUCAACCUGAGAAUAGCAUUUAAAACUGGUCAUCUGGAGUACUGUAGAGGGAGGUAGAAUUCCACGUGUAGCGGUGAAAUGCGUAGAGAUGUGGAGGAAUACCGGUGGCGAAGGCGGCCUUCUGGACAGAUACUGACGCUGAGAUGCGAAAGCGUGGGGGAGCAAACAGGAUUAGAUACCCUGGUAGUCCACGCUGUAAACGAUGUCGAUUUGGAGUUUGUUGCCUAGAGUGAUGGGCUCCGAAGCUAACGCGAUAAAUCGACCGCCUGGGGAGUACGGCCGCAAGGUUAAAACUCAAAUGAAUUGACGG